UAGUCCACGCCCUAAACGAUGUCAACUAGACGUUGGCCCCAUUGAAGGGGUUAGUGUCGAAGCUAACGCGUUAAGUUGACCGCCUGGGGAGUACGGCCGCAAGGUUGAAACUCAAAGGAAUUGACGGGGGCCCGCACAAGCGGUGGAGCAUGUGGUUUAAUUCGAUGCAACGCGAAGAACCUUACCAGCCCUUGACAUCCUGGGAAUUUUGUAGAGAUACAUUAGUGCCUUCGGGAAUCCAGUGACAGGUGCUGCAUGGCUGUCGUCAGCUCGUGACGUGAGAUGUUGGGUUAAGUCCCGCAACGAGCGCAACCCUCAUCCUUAGUUGCCAUCAUUUAGUUGGGCACUUUAAGGAAACUGCCGGUGAUAAGCCGGAGGAAGGUGGGGAUGACGUCAAGUCCUCAUGGCCCUUACAGGCUGGGCUACACACGUGCUACAAUGGUAUCUACAGUGAGCAGCGAUCCCGCGAGGGUUAGCUAAUCUCCAAAAGAUAUCUCGGUUCGGAUUGUUCU
rnacentral:rRNA from 1 species